rnacentral:rRNA from 1 species
UACGUAGGGGGCAAGCGUUGUCCGGAUUUAUUGGGCGUAAAGAGCGUGUAGGCGGCCAAGCAGGUCAGCUGUGAAAACUCGAGGCUCAACCUCGAGACGUCGGUUGAAACCGCUUGGCUAGAGUCCGGAAGAGGAGAGUGGAAUUCCCGGUGUAGCGGUGAAAUGCGCAGAUAUCGGGAAGAACACCCGUGGCGAAGGCGGCUCUCUGGGCCGGCCCUGACACUGAGACGCGAAGGCGUGGGGAGCGAACGGG